CCUACGGGAGGCAGCAGUGGGGAAUAUUGGACAAUGGGGGCAACCCUGAUCCAGCCAUGCCGCGUGAGUGAUGACGGCCUUAGGGUUGUAAAGCUCUUUUCUCCGGGACGAUAAUGACGGUACCGGAGGAAUAAGCCCCGGCUAACUUCGUGCCAGCAGCCGCGGUAAUACGAAGGGGGCUAGCGUUGCUCGGAAUCACUGGGCGUAAAGGGCGCGUAGGCGGCUGACUUAGUCGAGGGUGAAAGCCCGUGGCUCAACCACGGAAUGGCCUUCGAUACUGGUUGGCUUGAGACCGGAAGAGGACAGCGGAACUGCGAGUGUAGAGGUGAAAUUCGUAGAUAUUCGCAAGAACACCAGUGGCGAAGGCGGCUGUCUGGUCCGGUUCUGACGCUGAGGCGCGAAAGCGUGGGGAGCAAACAGGAUUAGAUACCCUGGUAGUCCACGCUGUAAACGAUGAAUGCUAGCCGUUGGGUCUGCAUGCAGGUACGAGUGGGCGGCCGGCCGUAACCGACAUUAAGUCAUUCCGUCCCGUCGGGGAGGUACGGGUCGGCGAAGAAUUAAAACCUUAACAAAUAGAAGUUAGUACGGGCGUGAGACGUGCCCGAACGGACCGACCGAACCGAAGGGGGAAGGUUAAGGG
rnacentral:rRNA from 1 species